rnacentral:rRNA from 1 species
UACGUAGGGACCAAGCGUUGUUCGGAUUUACUGGGCGUAAAGGGCGCGUAGGCGGCGUGUUAAGUCAGCUGUGAAAUCUCCAAGCUUAACUUGGAACGGUCAGCUGAUACUGAUGUGCUAGAGUGCAGAAGGGGCAAUCGGAAUUCUUGGUGUAGCGGUGAAAUGCGUAGAUAUCAAGAGGAACACCUGAGGUGAAGACGGGUUGCUGGGCUGACACUGACGCUGAGCGCGAAAGCUAGGGGAGCAAACGGG